rnacentral:rRNA from 1 species
GAUGAACGCUAGCGGCAGGCCUAACACAUGCAAGCCGAGCGGUAUUGUUUCUUCGGAAAUGAGAAAGCGGCGUACGGGUGCGUAACACGUGUGCAACCUGCCUUUAUCUGGGGGAUAGCCUUUCGAAAGGAAGAUUAAUACUCCAUAAUAUAUUGAACGGCAUCGUUUAAUAUUGAAAGCUCCGGCGGAUAGAGAUGGGCACGCGCAAGAUUAGCUAGUUGGUGAGGUAACGGCUCACCAAGGCGAUGACCUUUAGGGGGCCUGAGAGGGUGAUCCCCCACACUGGUACUGAGACACGGACCAGACUCCUACGGGAGGCAGCAGUGAGGAAUAUUGGUCAAUGGGUGCAAGCCUGAACCAGCCAUCCCGCGUGAAGGACGACUGCCCUAUGGGUUGUAAACUUCUUUUGUAUAGGGAUAAACCUACCCUCGGGAGGGUAGCUGAAGGUACUAUACGAAUAAGCACCGGCUAACUCCGUG